rnacentral:rRNA from 1 species
AGUGAACGCUGGCGGCGUGCCUAACACAUGCAAGUCGAACGGAGUGGCGCACGGGUGAGUAAUGUAUAGCUAAUCUGCCCUACACUAGAGGACAACAGCUGGAAACGGCUGCUAAUACUCUAUAGUGUAGGAUGAGGCUAUAAUGUAUCAGCUAGUUGGUGAGAUAAUGGCCCACUAAGGCUAUGACGCAUAACUGGUCUGAGAGGAUGAUCAGUAACACUGGAACUGAGACACGGUCCGGACUCCUACGGGAGUCAGCAGUAGGGUAUAGUGCUCAAUGGGGGAAUCCCUGAAGCAGCAACGCCUCGUGGAGGAUGACACUUGUCGGGGCAUAAGCUGCUUUUGUUAGGGAAGCGGUACCUAACGAAUAAGCACCGGCUAACUCCGUGCCAGCCGCCGCGGUAAUAC